rnacentral:rRNA from 1 species
AUACGUAGGGGGCGAGCGUUGUCCGGAAUGAUUGGGCGUAAAGGGCGCGUAGGCGGCCCGGUAAGUCUGGAGUGAAAGUCCUGUUUUUAAGAUGGGAAUUGCUUUGGAUACUGUCGGGCUUGAGUGCAGGAGAGGUAAGUGGAAUUCCCAGUGUAGCGGUGAAAUGCGUAGAGAUUGGGAGGAACACCAGUGGCGAAGGCGACUUACUGGACUGUAACUGACGCUGAGGCGCGAAAGUGUGGGGAGCAAACAGGAUUAGAUACCCUGGUAGUCCACACUGUAAACGAUGAAUGCUAGGUGUAGGGGGUAUCGACCCCUUCUGUGCCGCAGUCAACACAAUAAGCAUUCCGCCUGGGGAGUACGGCCGCAGGGUUGAAACUCAAAUGAAUUGGCGGGG